CUGUGGCGUCACAGAGUCGGACAUGACUUAGCGACCGAAUAACAAGUGACAGCCCACCUCCAUAAGGGACUCAGAGAAAUUAAAAAAGGGAUUCUGUAUUGGGAAAGAGAAGUGAAGAACACUGUGUGCUUUCUGCCCUGCCCUACCCCCCAAGCCCAAUGUAUCAGAUCCCAGGAGGCCCAUUCACGGUGACUGGGACUGUCAACAGGGGUAAAAUCAGAAUCUUCUUCCCCAACAGGACCACAGAAAUGCUGGCCCACUCCUGGCAGGAGGCAGAGCCUGAGCAUUCUCGGAAACACCUGCUGUGUUCCCUGGAGCUUGGGAACAUUCAUGAAGAGAUGGGCGAGAGCCUAGAAAAGUCCAGAAAUUAGCUGGAACUGUCUUGGAGUGGACAACUGGGUGCUGGGGAGGAGCACAGGACAGUUGUUCAAGCUGAAUUUCAACCUUGUGAGGAGCAAGGAUGUGAGACUUUAACCUGGAGCCAGAGGGAGGCCUGGGAAGAAGACUCUAUAGAUGCUGUCAACACGGACUCACAGAACGUACCUCCCGUGCACACAGCUGGAGCCGCCCGCCAGUGUCAUGAACCUGCAACAGGACACCCACUGGGAAGAGCGCAUAACAAGGUCCCAGGGGAUUCUACUAGGCUGCCCGACUCCCCUCCUCCACUUCCUACACGUGGCUGCCAAGGCCACAUCUGCAUUCCAGCUGGGCAGCAGGAACGAAACCAUUCCCCUGUGGCCCAGGGAGCACAGAGGUGACCAUUGACUCAAAAGAGAUCAUUCACAUCAAUGGUUACCAGGUGGCCCGACUCAUAGUGUAUCCAACGUGCUUGCCUAACCCCACACUGGAGAUCCUACAGACAAACAGUGACUGAUGUGAAAGUAACGGUUGUUUUAGGAAGGAGUGCUAGUGAUUUUUAGAAAACUGGAUAUGAGGUGGAACCAUUGAAUAUUAAAGAGGGAAAGCCACAGCAUCUUAGAGAAUCUCACUAAGGCUGUGAGAAGUUCCUCAGUGGGCUGAAAACUACCAGCAACAACUACCAGCUGAAAACUACCAGCUAAGGAAUAAUACUUUUUAAACAGUGAGCGAUCAAAUUUACCAUGUGGCGGUUUGUCAAUAAAGCUCUCUGUUCAAAUCAUAACAAGUCAGCAUCAAACUGUGUGAUGGGCAUGGAUGGUAAAAAAAUCUGCUGGUGGGACUUCCCUGGUGGUCCAGUGGUUAAGACUCUGUGCUCCCAAUGCAGGAGCCAUGGGUUCCAUUUCUGGUGGAGGAACUAAGAUCCCGCAUGCUGCAUGGCACACCCCAAAAGAAAGAAAUUUUUUUAAAAAACUUUAAUGGUGAAUAUAAAAACAGGUGUGAAACAAGAAAAUGCCCAGGAAGGUGGGCAAGGUUAACUCACAGAGCAGGGAAGUCGGCCUUGCCCCAAGUCGGCAACCAGGAGUGCAGUGUCUACACUUUCCCUGGAAGAGCGGGAGGCCCACACGUGCCCUGCCUCCCCAUGCCUCUGUGUAGGCCUUUGGUCCAGAUCUCGCUGACAGUGAUGAGCCAUUAGGUGAUCAGCCAUUGCGUGUCUCCCAGAAGAGGAAGCCUUCAGCGACUGAUCAUUCAGCUGUUCUAUCAACAAUCGCUGAUGCCAACAGCAGGGUCAGGCUCUGGGUCACUGAUGACAAGGAUAGUCCCUGCCCUCCAGUCGGGGCUGCACUGACUGACAUGAGGACAGAGGGCUGAGGGAAAGGAGGGUACUCAGCCCUGAGGAGCCUGGAGAAGCACGAGUGCAGCUGAGCGAGGGCUCCAUGGAGCACAGAGGAAGGGGAAGGAAGCCGGCAGCAGGAGGCCAGUCUGCAAACGUGGGCAGAGGCCAGACCAGCGGCAGGGGACUGGAGGCAGAAAGAGGACAUGGAUUCAGACAGGCCCAGCUCAUCGGCUGACUGGCUGUCAGGGCUUAGGGCUGGCUGGAAACCUUCACACUGAAUUCCAGGGAGCAUGCAGGAGUCACAACUACAUCACCUUCUAAGGAAGAAGGGCCCCGGGCUGUGUGUAUAAUCAAAGGGACCAGAGGACCAGGCCAACCCAAGGGGAGAAGAGCUGGGGCUGGGCCCAAGGCCUGAAUGAAGCCAGCACCCCCACACCCAGGAAGCCAAGGUGAGCUAGGCUGGGCAUAGCCCUGGACUUCCUCCUGGGAAAAGGCAUGGCCCAGGGGGACAAGGAAUGAACAAAGCCGCUCCUCGACAGGACAGAACAAGGGCACAAGGCUUGCUGCAGUGAGCAGUCGAGGGACCGGGAAGCUGGUACCUACUCUGCCCCUGCCUGUGGGCCUUAGGAAAGUCAUGUCAUUGCAUCAUCUGUUUUUUAGUUAAUUAAGACACAUUGAGGGACUUCCCUGGUGGUUCAGUGGUUGGGACUUUGCUUUCCAAUGCAAGGGGUGUUGGUUCAAUCCCUGAUUGGGGAGCUAAGAUUCCCACAUGCCUAGAGGCCAAACAAUCAAAACAUAAAACAGAAGCAAUAUUGUAACAAAUUCAAUAAAGUCUUUUAAAAUGGUCCACAUCAAAAAAUCUUUAAAAGAAAACAUAUUAAGGAAAAAUGCAUUGCAUAUCCCUAUAAGCCAGUCACUGUGGAUGAAAUAGAGAGACCCCUGUCUACACAGGAGGACCUAUCUCAGUGGGCUAAGCUCUCUAACCCAGAGGUCACAUCCAGUCCUAAGAGGUAUUUUCUCUCUCAUACCUCCACACCGACAGGGCAUCCAGUUCUAGACGAAGCACUGCCCAGCCCAUUCCCAGGGCCUGCUUACACUAGGGCCUCCUCCGUAAUCCUCAAGAGCUGCUCUAGAACCACCCCUUAGCCAAGACCCUUCCACACCAUCACAGAGGAUGUCUGGAUAACCUUUGCUGUAUGUCCCCGGGACUUCUGGAAUGUACCCUUCACAGCCCAACAACACCUACUAAUAGCUGAAGGAAAAACUCAUGCUGAAGUUCACUCCACACUCUACAGUUGGAAUGGGUGCAGGCAGCAGUCAGAAAUCUGCUCCUAAUAUCAGAGAGGGAGUGACCCAUCUGUGUGCAGGUAGACGAACCCCAAGGAGAGUGGCCCCAGGCUGUAUCCUGUGCACCUGG